rnacentral:rRNA from 1 species
UCUACGGGAGGCAGCAGUGGGGGAUAUUGCGCAAUGGGGGGAACCCUGAUGCAGCAACGCCGCGUGAGUGAAGAAGCGCCUCGGCGCGUAAAGCCCUGUCAGCAAGGAAGAAAGUGACGGUACCUGAAGAAGAAGCACCGGCUAACUACUUGCCGGCAGCCGCGGUAAUACGUGGGGGGCAAGAGGUAUCAGGAUUUACUGGUGGUAAAGGGGGCGCAGCCGGCGAUGCAAGACAGGAGUGAAAGCCCGGGGCCGAACCCCGGGACUGCUCUUGGAACUGCGUGGCUGGAGUGAAGGAGGGGCAGGCGGAAUUCCUGGUGUAGCGGUGAAAUGCGUAGAUAUAAGGAGGAACACCGGUGGCGAAGGCGGCCUGCUGGACUGCAACUGACGGUGAGGCCCGAAAGCGUGGGGAGCAAACAGGAUUAGAUACCCCUGUAGUC